ACACACACACACACAGGGCUACAGGUACACACACACACAGGGCUACAGGUACACACACACACACAGGGCUACAGGUACACACACACACACAGGGCUACAGGUACACACACACACAGGGCUACAGGUACACACACACACAGGGCUACAGGUACACACACACACACAGGGCUACAGGUACACACACACACAGGGCUACAGGUACACACACACAGGGCUACAGGUACACACACACACAGGGCUACAGGUACACACACACACAGGGCUACAGGUACACACACACACAGGGCUACAGGUACACACACACACAGGGCUACAGGUACACACACACAGGGCUACAGGUACACACACACACAGGGCUACAGGUACACACACACACAGGGCUACAGGUACACACACACACAGGGCUACAGGUACACACACACACACAGGGCUACAGGUACACACACACACACACACACACACACACAGGGCUACAGGUACACACACACACACACAUGCAGGGCUACAGGUACACACACACACACAGGGCUACAGGAAUACACACACACACACACACACACACACAGGGCUACAGGUACACACACACACACAAUCAUUAUGUCAAUACUAGGUAACGCUACACACUCACCCUCGCUCUCUCUCUUUCUCCCCCUCUCUCUCUCUCUUUCUCCCCCUCUCUCGCUCUCUCUUGCGCAUUCUACCCACUGCUCUCUUUCCCUCCCCCUCUCUCUAUUUCCUCCCCCUCUCCCUCUCUCUCUCCCCAG
rnacentral:lncRNA from 1 species